rnacentral:rRNA from 2 species
GGUUAAGCGACUAAGCGUACACGGUGGAUGCCCUGGCAGUCAGAGGCGAUGAAGGACGUGCUAAUCUGCGAAAAGCGUCGGUAAGGUGAUAUGAACCGUUAUAACCGGCGAUGUCCGAAUGGGGAAACCCAGUGUGAUUCGUCACACUAUCGUUAACUGAAUACAUAGGUUAACGAGGCGA